AAGCAAUUAAGAGCGCACGGAGGAUGCCUUGGAUUCCAGAGGCGAUGAAGGACGCGUUAGGCUGCGAUAAGCCGUGGUGAGGUGCCUAAAAACCUUUGAUCCGCGGAUUUCCGAAUAGGACAACCUAUUAGAGCCCCUUCGGGGGAGGCGAACGAGGGGAACUGAAACAUCUAAGUACCCUUAGGAGAAGAAAACAA
rnacentral:rRNA from 14 species